rnacentral:rRNA from 1 species
GACGAACGCUGGCGGCGUGCCUAAUACAUGCAAGUAGAACGCACAGUUUAUACCGUAGCUUGCUACACCAUAAACUGUGAGCUGCGAACGGGUGAGUAACGCGUAGGUAACCUGCCUGGUAGCGGGGGAUAACUAUUGGAAACGAUAGCUAAUACCGCAUAAUAUUGAUUAUUGCAUGAUAAUUGAUUGAAAGAUGCUAUUGCAUCACUACCAGAUGGACCUGCGUUGUAUUAGCUAGUAGGUGAGGUAACGGCUCACCUAGGCGACGAUACAUAGCCGACCUGAGAGGGUGAUCGGCCACACUGGGACUGAGACACGGCCCAGACUCCUACGGGAGGCAGCAGUAGGGAAGCUUCGGCAAUGGACGAAAGUCUGACCGAGCAACGCCGCGUGAGUGAAGAAGGUUUUCGGAUCGUAAAGCUCUGUUGUAAGAGAAGAACGGGUGUGAGAGUGGAAAGUUCACACUGUGACGGUAUCUUACCAGAAAGGGACGGCUAACUACGUG